rnacentral:rRNA from 1 species
UACGAAGGGUGCAAACGUUGCUCGGAAUCAUUGGGCGUAAAGCGCACGUAGGCGGCUUGCCAAGUCGGACGUGAAAUCCCUCAGCUCAACUGAGGACGUGCAUCCGAAACUGGCGAGCUUGAGUGCUGAAGAGGAUCGCGGAAUUCCCGGUGUAGAGGUGAAAUUCGUAGAUAUCGGGAGGAACACCAGUGGCGAAGGCGGCGAUCUGGGCAGACACUGACGCUGAGGUGCGAAAGCGUGGGGAGCAAACAGGG